GCCUUCUCCACUUCAGUCUGCAAGCCUGCCUGUACAAAUGGGUUACAAACUGAAACAGUGGUGGAAAGGUGGCCAACCUUUCAGCUCACUUUUCUCAACAGAAGUUGGGACAGUGAUGCCUGGCAGCCAAAGGAUUUGAGAGAAAAAGUGAUGACCCAAAAAUGUAUAAAACCCUAAGGGAAAAAAAAAGGACUUGGGACAUGGCAACUCAUCAACCCUUUCCAACUCGACUGAGGACUGUCUGGCCAGUACAGAAAUUCAGAAGGUGUCCAUUGAUAUCGACAGGACAGAAAAUCAUGCAAGCUUUGGGCACAUAACAUCUCCUGCAAGCUCCUCUCAAAGGCCUUACGGGCCUGGAAGGUGGAUGGCCUCCUGCAACUGUCUUGAUUGGUCCAAUAAAAUUAAUUGUCCCUCUCCAA